rnacentral:rRNA from 1 species
CACGAACGCUGGCGGCAGGCUUAACACAUGCAAGUCGAACGAUCUCUUCGGAGGUAGUGGCAGACGGGUGAGUAACACGUGGGAACGUACCUUUCAGUCAGGAAUAACUCAUGGAAACGUGAGCUAAUACCCGAUACGCCCUUUUGGGGAAAGAUUUAUCGCUGAAAGAUCGGCCCGCUUCUGAUUAGCUAGUUGGUGGGGUAAUGGCCUACCAAGGCGGCGAUCAGUAGCUGGUCUGAGAGGAUGAUCAGCCACACUGGGACUGAGACACGGCCCAGACUCCGACGGGAGGCAGCAGUGGGGAAUAUUGGACAAUGGGCGCAAGCCUGAUCCAGCCAUGCCGCGUGAGUGAUGACGGCCUUAGGGUUGUAAAGCUCUUUCGACGGGGACGAUAAUGACGGUACCCGUAGAAGAAGCCCCGGCUAACUUCGUGCCAGCCGCCGCCGUAUAC